rnacentral:rRNA from 1 species
CCUCGCUGAACUUAAGCAUAUCAAUAAGCGGAGGAAAAGAAACUAACAAGGAUUCCCCUAGUAACUGCGAGUGAAGCGGGAAAAGCUCAAAUUUGAAAUCUGGCGGUCCCCGCGGCCGUCCGAGUUGUAAUUUAGAGAAGCGUUUUCCGCGCCGGUCCCGUGUACAAGUCUCCUGGAACGGAGCGUCGUAGAGGGUGAGAAUCCCGUCUUUGACACGGACAGCCGGUGCUAUGUGAUGCGCUCUCGAAGAGUCGAGUUGUUUGGGAAUGCAGCUCAAAACGGGUGGUGAACUCCAUCUAAAGCUAAAUAUUGGCGAGAGACCGAUAGCGAACAAGUACCGUGAGGGAAAGAUGAAAAGCACUUUGGAAAGAGAGUGAAACAGUACGUGAAAUUGCUGAAAGGGAAACGCUUGAAGUCAGUCGCGUCCGCCGGGACUCAGCCCUCGUGGCGUACUUUUCGGCGGACGGGUCAGCAUCACUUUCGGUCGUCGGAUAAGGGCGGGGGAAACGUGGCACCCUUCGGGGUGUGUUAUAGUCCCCCGUCGUAUGCGUCGGCCGGGAGUGAGGACUGCCUUUGUUUGCAGGAUGCUGGCGUAAUGGCUUUAAACGACCCGUCUUGAAACACGG